GCGUGUGUGGUGUAAUGGUAACAUAGGGUCUUCCCAUAUAAGCGCUUCAGUACGACACUUAGUGGCCCUGCCUCGGGUUCGAUUCCCGGCACACGCA